rnacentral:rRNA from 1 species
UGGGGAAUAUUGCACAAUGGAGGGAACUCUGAUGCAGCGACGCCGCGUGAGUGAUGAAGGAAUUCGUUUCGUAAAACUCUGUUCUAUGGGAAGAAAAGGACUGUACCAUAGGAGAAAGCUCCGGCUAAAUACGUGCCAGCAGCCGCGGUAAUACGUAUGGAGCGAGCGUUGUCCGGAAUUAUUGGGCGUAAAGGGUGCGCAGGCGGCUUUACAAGUUGGAUGUGAAAUAUUGUGGCUCAACCACAAACGUGCAUCCAAAGCAUCAAAGCUGUUGUGAAGGCGAGGUAAGUGGAAUUCCUGGUGUAGCGGUAUAAUGCGUACAUAUCGGGAGGAAUACCGGUGGCGAGGGCGACUUCCUGGACUUAAACUGACGCUCAGGCACGAAAGCGUGGGGAGCAAACAGG